ensembl:lncRNA
CAGGCCAGGAGAAUUGCCUCAAGUUCCAAGCCUCCUGAGUGCUGGGAUUUCAACUUCGAACAGAUUAUCUCUUCCUUUUUGUUUUGUUCUGUUCUGAACUCAUGAUUAGCCCAGGCUGGCCUUGAACUUGCUCUGAUCCUCUUGCCUCUGCCUCCCCAGGGCUGGGAUCACAGGUGAGCACCGCCAUACCCAGUCCUUCUUUUCUCUCACCUGUGUGCCCUUUCUUUGUCUUGCCUUCUCCAGGUGACAGGGAUCCAGUAUAAUGUUGAAGAGGCCCUCAGAGUGGCAUCACACCCUGAGCCUGCGGUCAGGGGGAAAAUUCUGUCUUCAAUGGUUAACUCGCAGAGUAGCAGGGCUUGUUUGUUUCCUAGUCCAUUCCUUUGGCCCUUUAUGUAAGGGAGCCCCUCUGGGCCUGUCUUACUGAGAGUUUGCAUCAGGAACGGGGGAAGAGUUUCGUGAAGUCAUUUUGCUGCAUCUCAUGAGAAGAUUGUGCUGUUCUUCUUUAGUGAAUUACAUUGAUCUCUCUUUCUCCCUCUCUCUCUGUGAUGCCCACAAUUAACGUCUCUCUCCUUUCCAAGCACGCAGUGCAUUGUCAUGACCGAUACUCACUGUGUUGUGCUACAGAACUCUUGAAUUUAUUCCUCCGAAGUGAAACUUUAUGUCCCCUCACCGACAUCCCCCUCCUCUCCUCAGCCUCAGUCCUGAUUAACCACUAUUCCCCCUCCUCUGCCCUGAGUUCCACUCCACAAUGAAACGAGAUCCUGCAGUAUUUGAUUUUCUGUGCCUGGCUGAUUUUGCUUCACUUAAUGACCUUUGGGUUCAUUGACAUUGACUGUAUUAGUCAGCUUUGGCACCGAGGGACAAAAUACCUGACACCCAUAACUUAAAGGAGGAGAGGCUUAUUUGGCUCCUGGGUUCAGUUUUUGUUUGUUUGUAUUUUGAGACCGGGUUUCCCUAUGUGGUCCAGGCUGGCCUUGAACUCACAGUAAGGCUCCUGCCUCAGCCUCCUGGUCUGCUGGAAUUACAGGCAUGGGUCAUCCCAACUGAUGUGUUUUUUAAAGCAGGCUUUUUGUUUCUUUGCUUUUUGGUGGUGCUGGAGACGAACUCAGGGCAUUCAGCCUGCUGAGCUCGUGCUCCACUAUUGAGCUGCAGCCCGGGCCUUUUUUCUUAAUGUCCUUUUAGUGGACAUGAAGUGCUAUUUCGUUGAUUUCUCCGGUGAUCUUUAUUAUUUCCUUUUACUUAUUUUGGAUUUAAUCUCUUCUUCUUUUUCUAGCUCCUUCCUUCCUUUCCUCUCUCUAUCCUUCUUUCUCACUUUCUUCUUUCUAUUUUUUAAUUCUUCUUCUUUCUGUACAAACAGAAAUUUCUAGGUGGAGUGGCAGACACUGCAACCUCAGCACUCAGGAGGCUGAGAGGCUGAGGCAGGAGGAUUGCCAAGAGUUCCAGGCCAGCCUGGGCUACACAAUUGCUGGGAAGUUUCCAAAGCAGUUUCCCGUGGUCCUGGGCAUCCUUCACCGAUCUCCCCUGCUGCUAAUCAGUGUUUGGAUGUCACUUUGGGCCCAGCUGGAGGAAAGGGGACGCUGUGAAAGGAGGGCUGAGCUGGAGCCGAGUGGGAGAAGCACCUGCCUGGCCUGCAAGGUCCUGGGUUCCAUCCCCCGCACUGCCAAAAAAAUGUUAGAGCCAGGCGUGGUGGCACACCCCUGUGAUCCCAGCACUCAGGAGGCUGAGCCAGGAGGAUCCCCCUGAGUUCAAGGCCAGCCUGGAAUAUAGAGGCCUCGGGAGGGAGGGCCAGGGUGCAGCACUGGG